AUGUAACUUAUUGGCAGCUAUCAAGCUACUAUGUGUUCUAAUGGAUCUUCGGUUAAAGUGUUAGCAGCAAGCUAACAAUAAUGGUCGAGAGCUUCAGUUAAGACCUACAAUAUUCCGUUUGCCCUGACAGCAUUUGUGUAGCAUAUAAACAACAAACCUAGUCGAUGUAGACAAAUAAAAAGUCAUGUAGAAACCUUUAUUCACAUAAAAUAUUUCCCAGUAACAGACUCCCGAGACUCCGUCAUCUUGUUUGAUUUUUUUGAUUACUCCCGCCCCUCUGAACAACGUAGGCUUCCAAAUCACACACACGCCUAACUGAUUGGCUCUCGGGUGGUUCUGAUUUGCAUAAAGUUAAAUAAUCGCCGACUUGGAAUCGGCUGCAGAGGUGUAUUCUUCCUCAUGCCGGCCAAACAGGCGGAAUUCUGCCUCCCAUUCAAUCCCAAUGACAGCGAGGCGAAUUACGCCUGGUCAUAUGCUGUGUCUGAAUGAAGCGUUAUGGUAUUUUAUGUAAUUUUCAAAAGCAAAAUUGUGUAUUGGGCAUUUCAAGCAGACAAUUAUAAGGGAACAAAGCAAAAAUACCUCCUCCCCAUACGUGCACACACACACACACACACACAUACACACAUACACGCACACACACACACACACACCGACACAAAAGACGUUUUCACAUAUGAAGAAUCAGGGCCUCUUUCACAUCUGUAUAACAGGAGAGAUUGUCCAUUUCAGAUGCAUUAUGACUGGAAAUACUCUGUAUGUUACAGUCACUUGGACAGCACAGGAGAGAGAUAAUGUGGUUCCCAGCACACAGCACAAUCACUGAAAGAAUCACAAGAAGGCUCUUCGGAACAGUCUUCCUGCUUGACGCAGAAAGAUGCAAGGAGUCUCGGAGAAAAAACUUGACCACGGGAUGGCCACAUGCAGCACCAUCCAGACCAGUCCAUCCAAGAGGGGCCCCUGACCCUGCACAACCCAAGACUGCAGGCAAAUCGGAUUUGUUUUUCAAAUCAGACUUUAUGGACAUUUGUGAGAACUGUGAACUAUUGGAUUGGCAUAAGAAAACCCUUACCUGGUAUGAGGUGAAGUGUAAAGGGGUGUGUAGAUGUGUGAACACUUGGUACUUUGUUUCUGUGCCUAGUUUACAUGCUUAG
rnacentral:lncRNA from 1 species